GUGCCAGCCGCCGCGGUAAUACGGGGGGAGCAAGCGUUAUCCGGAAUGAUUGGGCGUAAAGCGUCUGUAGGUGGUUCUUUAAGUCUACUGUCAAAUACGUUGGCUCAACCAACGGCAGGCAGUGGAGUACUAAAGAACUAGAGUGCGGUAGAGGUAGAGGGAAUCCCUAGCGUAACAGUGAAAUGUGUAGAUUUUAGGGAGAACACCAGCGGCGAAGGCGCUCUACUGGGCCGAUACUGACACUGAGAGACGAAAGCUAGAGUAGCGAAUAGGAUUAGAUACCCCAGUAGUCC
rnacentral:rRNA from 1 species